rnacentral:tRNA from 1 species
GGCUGCAUAGCUCAACAGGUCAGAGCACAGAGCACCGCAAGCGAGCGGGAUCCCGGUUCGAACCCGGGUGCAGUACA